rnacentral:rRNA from 1 species
AAGUGUAAAAGUUUACGAUGAAACUGCGGAUGGCUCAUUACAACAGUUAUUGUUUCCUUGGGUUACUUUACUACGGAUAACCGUGGAAAUCCUACAGCUAAUACGUAUCGCCUUUUUUAGGGUUUUGUAUAUUGUUGUGAACUUUUAUAGACUGUUUCCAGUCUUGUGUUAGAUGAUUUCUUUUAUACGUCAAUCGUACUAUGUACGAAAUUCCAUGACAGUUUCUGACCCAUCAGGUUCCGACGGUCAGAUAUUGGCUUACCGUGCCGAUAACGGGUAACGGGGGAUUAGGGUUCGAUCCCGGAGAGGGAGCUUUAGAUUUCGCUACCACAUCUAAGGAAGGCAGCAGGCGCGCAAAUUACCUAUCCCUCACUUAGGGAGGUAGUAAACAGAAAUGAUGACACAUGAUUUAUUUGUGUGAUCGGACUGAAUGGUUCUUACAUCAAACUAUGAAUACAAUUGGAGGAAAAGUCUGGUGCCAGCACCCGCGGUAAUACCAGCUCCAAUAGCGUAUAUUAUUUAUGUUGCAGUUGAAACGUUCGUAGUCGACUUGUGUCUGUUAUUUUUAUUUGUCAUACUUUGUGUCUAGUUUCUUAUGGCAGAAAGACGUGCAAAGACUUAAGAGUUUCUUCUAUCUCUUUUGCAUCUUACUUUGAGUUACUCGGCGUGUUCCACGCAGUCAUCUGUCUUGAACGAUUUACCAUAGCAUACUUAUAGUUUGAAAUUAUUUUCUUUAAAGUUCGAGGGUUCGUUCUAUAUUGAAAAGAACAGUUGAGGGCAUUCGUAUUCAAUUGCUAGAGGUGAAAUUCUUUGAUUAGUUGAGGACGAACUAUUGCGAAAGCAUCUGCCAAGGAUGUAUCUUUUGAUCAAGAACGACAGUUGGGUGAUCGAAGAUGAUUAGAUACCGUUGUAGUCCUAACUAUAAACUUUACUAUCCAAGAAUUGGAAUGGUGACUUUACACCUUUCCAGUUCUUUCUGAGAAAUCAUAAGUCUUUGAGUUCUGGGGGGAGUAUAGUUGCAAGGCCGAAACUUAAAGGAAUUGACGGAAGGGCACCACCAGGAGUGGAACUUGCGGCUUAAUUUGACUCAACACGGAAAACCUUACGAGGAUCAGACAGACGAAGGAUUGACAGAUUGAUAGCUCUUUCUUGAUUGUCUGGGUGGUGGUGCAUGGCCGUUCUUAGUUCGUGGAAUAAUUUGUCUGGUUAAUUCCGUUAACGAACGAGACCUUAACUUGCUAAUUCGUCAACUUUAUUAAUACUGUUGUCUUUUAUAAGGACCGUGUGUAUCUAACACAAGGAAGCAUGAGGCAGUAACAGGUCUGUGAUGCCCUUAUAUAUCCUCGGCAGCACGCGUGUUACAAUGAUGAAUACAAUGUGUACUUAUUUCUCGGAGGAGUAAUGGAAUCAUCAGUAUUUAUCAUCCCACGGAUUGUUUGUUGCUGCGUCGAGCAUCAUCUACGAAUUCCUAGUAAGCGCGUAUCAUUAAUUAGCGUUGAUUACGUCC